rnacentral:lncRNA from 10 species
AUGUUUGGGUGCGCUGCAGGCCGCGCGGGGAGCUUGGUCUGAGACCUGCGAGGCCCCCAGCUCGGGUGGCUGAGGGCGCCCGAGGCAGGGGGUGGGGAGUGGGGUAUCCUAGCAGACCCCAGUUUAGCAGUCUCUGCAAAUUCUUUCCUCACAAAGCCGCACCCCCACCCUUUUUCACCCCAGGUGUCAGUGCCCACUUCCCCUUUUCCUGCCUCUGUGGCCCCACGUGGAAACCUACGGGGAAGCCCGUCCUACAGGGGAAGCCUACCCACUCGAACCCUCAAAGAACGGCUGGGCGACCCCGAGUGCAAGCCCACCUAGGAGAACUCCACGUGCUCCUAAGAAAGACAACGAAGGAGCAAGGCCAGAUUUUCCUUGGGCUGGGAGGAUGGAGGCAUCCAGGCAGCUGUUGCCAAUUUCCCUGGGCCUCAGACUUGAACGUUUGGGACAUCACCCUAAUGAUGAUUGACAAGUCAGCCACAGUCCUGCUCACACUGGAGUCCCCCUCAAAACGCGUCACUUUAUAAGAUACUCACACAUGCACCCGUUAAAUUGGGGCUGAGACGAGGAGGGCGGGGUUCUCCGAUUCCUGAAGUGGGACCAUAAAGGCCUCUUUAUUGUAGGCGUUCCCUCCUCCUCCUCUGUAGGAAAAAAAAAAAAAAAAAAAAAGGCUUGAAAAACAAAACUGACAUUGCCCCGGCUCCCUCCUUGUUCCAACCCCCUUGGGACAUCUGUUUUUUCAGGUGUUGUCAGGAGCUUGUCAAGGUCAGGAAGGUAACAGGAGGAGCCUGGUCUGGUUGGUGGGUAUAUUCAUCUGCUGCAGCUGCCAUAACAAAGUGCCACAAACUGGAUGGCUUAAGACGGGGUCCCCAACCCCCCUGGGCCACGGACCACUAUGAGUCCCUGGCCUAUUAGGAACCAGGCGGCACCGCAGGAGGUGAGCCACCAGCGAAGCUUCAUCUGUAUUUACAGCUGCUCCCUAUCGCUGCAUUACCACCUGAGCUCAGCCUCCUGUUAGAUCAGGGGGCAUUAGAUCCUCACAGGAGCCGAACCCUAUUGUGAACUGUGCACGCAAGGGAACUAGGCUGUGCUCCUUACGAGAAUCGAAUGCCUGAUGAUGGGAGGUGGAGCUGAGUUGCUGAUGCUAGUGCUGAGAGUGGCUGCAAAUACGGAUUAACAUUAGCAGAGAGGUUUCACUGCACAGAGGCCAUCAUAAAUCAAUUGCUUGCAGACUCAUAUCAAAACACUAUCAGUGAGUGGCAAGUGACAAGCUGCAUCUGGUGGCAGGCUUUACAAUGGCAAGUGUAUGUACUUCAGUUGUACAGCUGCAUCUGGUGGCCUUAAAAGUAUGUUUGAGGCUGGGCGAGGUGGCUCACGCCUGUAAUCCCAACAUUCUGGGAGGCCGAGGCAGGUGGAUCACAAGGUCAGGAGUUCCAGACCAGCAUGACCAACAUGGUGAAACCCC